UCCAGUUCUGGGCCAGGGGGUCCAAAGUGCUUAGCUCCCAGGGUGCACAGCUGGAAAUUUGGGGGUCUUCUGUCAGCAGGGGACAGCGUGAAUGGGGGCAAUGGCAUCUCCCGGCCACAUCCUGAUUGUCUGUGUGUGUCUCCUCUCCAUGGCCAGUGCAGAAGCUCCGCAGGAACCAGAUCCAUUCACCUACGAACUGGGGAACCCGACGAAGAGGAGGGAACUUUCCGCAGCUCCAUCCGCCGUCUGUCCACCCGCAGGCGGUAGAACCUCCACCUGGCUCCAGGAAACUCAGCCAGAGCCCCCUUGGCACCUGACACCUCUCCCCACCCAGCUGCUCGCCUGUGACCACCUCCAGCGUCCCCUGCAUCAGCCCUGCUUCUCGGACACCCCUUGCUGCUCAGACCUCCAAUAAAACUCGGUUUUCCUUCUUGAUAGCGCUUAGUUGAUCUCAGUGCCUCUCCUGCGAAAACUCGGGAGGCCCCCCCCCGUGGCCCCGGCAGGGGGCGCCCCCACCCUUAGGGAAGGGGCGGGGACGUCAGCAGUGGGCGGGGGCGGGGGCGGGGGGAUGGCUUGGACGGGGGCGGGCUCUUCGGGCCCCCAUUGGCUACAGGCCCCCACUCUACCAGGGCUCCCCCACCUUACCCCACCACAUCAGUCUGUCCUGCUUCCAGCUGCUGCAGCCGCGCCUUCGCUGCCUCAGCAUUCAGCAACCCCCUGCUCAGGCUCAGCAUGGCCACCCCAACCCAGAGCCCCACAAACGUUCCUGAAGAAACAGAUCCUUUUUUCUAUGACUAUGCCACCGUGCAGACUGUGGGGAUGACCCUGGCCACUAUCAUGUUCGUGCUGGGCAUCAUCAUCAUCAUCAGCAAGAAGGUUAAGUGCAGGAAGGCGGACUCCAGGUCUGAGAGCCCAACAUGCAAAUCCUGUAAGUCGGAACUGCCCUCCUCAGCCCCUGGAGGUGGCGGUGUGUAGGAUCCUCUGCAGAUUUCCACUGCUGUCCCUGGCCAGAGCGCAGGAGCCUGAGGACCCAGAGAAGGCGGUGGGGACCCAGCCUGGCGCCAGGGAGUGCUCCCCCAAUGAGCCGCCACACCCAUACCAAGGCCGGAGCCAAUGCACCCUGCUCGCUCUCCCUCCCCAGGCCGUGGCAACGACGACGAUCCCCAAAGAGCCUAUUUGUACCCCAGACCCAGAGACUCAGGCCUCCAGCUCCUGGGAUUCAGGAGUCUGUCCCCAGUGCCCUGGGAUCCUCGUGUCCCUCCUUCCUGCAUCUCCUGGUCUCCUUCUCCAGGACCUUCCCCGCUGUCCCCUCAGGGUCCACAUCUUGAGCUUAAUAAAUGUGCAAUCGGUUUCUCCCGG
rnacentral:lncRNA from 1 species